AACGAACGCUGGCGGCAGGCUUAACACAUGCAAGUCGAACGCCCCGCAAGGGGAGUGGCAGACGGGUGAGUAACGCGUGGGAAUCUACCUAGUUCUACGGAACAACUGAGGGAAACUUCAGCUAAUACCGUAUACGCCCUACGGGGGAAAGAUUUAUCGGAAUUAGAUGAGCCCGCGUAAGAUUAGCUAGUUGGUGGGGUAAUGGCCUACCAAGGCGACGAUCCUUAGCUGGUCUGAGAGGAUGAUCAGCCACACUGGGACUGAGACACGGCCCAGACUCCUACGGGAGGCAGCAGUGGGGAAUAUUGGACAAUGGGCGCAAGCCUGAUCCAGCCAUGCCGCGUGAGUGAUGAAGGCCUUAGGGUUGUAAAGCUCUUUCAGUGGGGAAGAUAAUGACGGUACCCACAGAAGGAGCCCCGGCUAACUUCGUGCCAGCCGCCGCGGUAAAAC
rnacentral:rRNA from 1 species